rnacentral:rRNA from 1 species
CUACCGAUUGAAUGGCUCAGUGAGGCCUUGGGACUGGCUCAGGAAGGUCGGCAACGACCAUCCAGAGCCGGAAACUUGGUCAAACUUGGUCAUUUAGAGGAAGUAAAAGUCGUAACAAGGUU